rnacentral:rRNA from 1 species
AGUGAACGCUGGCGGUAGGCCUAACACAUGCAAGUCGAACGGCAGCACAGUAAGAGCUUGCUCUUACGGGUGGCGAGUGGCGGACGGGUGAGGAAUACAUCGGAAUCUACUUUUUCGUGGGGGAUAACGUAGGGAAACUUACGCUAAUACCGCAUACGACCUACGGGUGAAAGCAGGGGAUCUUCGGACCUUGCGCGAUUGAAUGAGCCGAUGUCGGAUUAGCUAGUUGGCGGGGUAAAGGCCCACCAAGGCGACGAUCCGUAGCUGGUCUGAGAGGAUGAUCAGCCAUACUGGAACUGAGACACGGUCCAGACUCCUACGGGAGGCAGCAGUGGGGAAUAUUGGACAAUGGGCGCAAGCCUGAUCCAGCCAUACCGCGUGUGUGAAGAAGGCCUUCGGGUUGUAAAGCCCUUUUGUUGGGAAAGAAAAGCAGCAGGUUAAUACCCCGCUGUUCUGACGGUACCCAAAGAAUAAGCACCGGCUAACUUCGUG